rnacentral:sRNA from 1 species
GAAGCUUCGACCAAGGUUCGACUUGAGCGCCAGCGAGAGAGCGUUGCCGCAGGCAACGACCCGAAGGGCGAAGCGCGAAGCGCUGAGUAAUCCUUCCCCCACCACCA